UGGGGAAUUUUGCACAAUGGGGGAAACCCUGAUGCAGCGACGCCGCGUGAUUUAGAAGGCCUUCGGGUUGUAAAAAUCUCUUCUAUGGGAAGAAAAUGACAGUACCAUAGGAAUAAGGACCGGCUAAUUACGUGCCAGCAGCCGCGGUAAUACGUAAGGUCCGAGCGUUGUCCGGAACCAUUGGGCGUAAAGGGUACGUAGGCGGGUAAGCAAGUUAGAAGUGAAAUCCUGUAGCUCAACUACAUUAAGCUUUUAAAACUGCUCAUCUUGAGAUAUGGAAGGGAAAGUGUAAUUCCUAGUGUAGCGGUGAAAUUCGCUGGUAUUAGGAGGACUACCGGUGGCGAAGGCGACUUUCUGGCCAUAAUCUGACGCUGAGGUACGAAAGCGUGGGUAGCAAACAGG
rnacentral:rRNA from 1 species